GGGCGACUAGCUCAGUUGGGAGAGCGCCAGCUCGACAAGCUGGAGGUCGUUGGUUCAAUUCCAACGUCGCCCACCA
rnacentral:tRNA from 2 species